rnacentral:rRNA from 1 species
GACGAACGCUGGCGGCGUGCCUAAUACAUGCAAGUAGGACGGAGUUGCGAACGGGUGAGUAACGCGUAGGUAACUGCCUAUUAGAGGGGGAUAACUAUUGGAAACGAUAGCUAAUACCGCAUACUAGUAGAUGGAGCUGCGUUGUAUUUGCGAGUAGGUAGGGUAAUGGCCUACCUAGGCGACGAUACAGAGCCGACCUGGGAGGGUGAUCCGCCACCCUGGGACUUAGACACGGCCCAGACUCCCUCUGGGGGCAGCAGUAGGGAAUCUUCGGCAAUGGGGGGAACCCUGACCGAGCACCUCCGCGUGGUUUAAGAAGGUUUUCGGAUCUUAAAGCUCUGUUCUUAAGGAAGCGGUACUUAACCAGAAAGGGACGGCUAACUACGUGCCAGCCGCCGCGGUAAUAC